rnacentral:rRNA from 1 species
AUUGAACGCUGGCGGCAUGCCUAACACAUGCAAGUCGAACGGCAGCACGGUGUGUAGCAAUACACAUGGGUGGCGAGUGGCGGACGGGUGAGUAAUGCUUAGGAAUCUGCCCAAUGGUGGGGGAUAACUAACCGAAAGGUUAGCUAAUACCGCAUACGCCUUUACGGGGAAAGCGGGGGAUCGAAAGACCUCGCGCCGAUGGAUGAGCCUAAGUCCGAUUAGCUAGUUGGUAGGGUAAUGGCCUACCAAGGCGAAGAUCGGUAGCUGGUCUGAGAGGACGUCAAGCCACACUGGAACUGAGACACGGUCCAGACUCCUACGGGAGGCAGCAGUGGGGAAUAUUGGACAAUGGGGGAAACCCCGAUCCAGCAAUGCCGCGUGUGUGAAGAAGGCCUUAUGGUUGUAAAGCACUUUAAGCGAGGAGGAGGCUCUUUUGGUUAAUACCCAAGAUGAGUGGACGUUACUCGCAGAAUAAGCACCGGCUAACUCUGUGCCAGCAGCCGCAGUAAGAC